UUUCUAACUAUUAAAUUACGUGUUGUAUUCAUUUUCUUCUUAACAAUUCAAAUCCGCCAUUUCUGUGUAGCUCAAAAAGCUUGUUACUAAAAUGGCGAAUUCCGGUCCUCUGAACCCAAACCCGGUUCCGAACUCCGAUCGUCUCGAACAACUGAAACAAUUCGAUGAGUCGAAAAUUGGAGUUAAAGGGCUUGUUGAUAAGGGCCUUACUACUAUACCCAGUUUCUUCAUCCACUCAGAAGAAUCAAACCCGGAACCCAAAACCCGAUCAAGUAACAAUCACUGCAUACCCGUCGUCGACUUUUCUGCUUCUCGGGAAACAGUCGUUGAACAAGUUCAUCGUGCUUCAACGAGCUUAGGGUUCUUCCAGAUUAUCAACCAUUCUGUUCCGGUCAGUGCUAUAAAUAGAAUUGUAGGUUCGAUUAAAUCGUUUAACGAACAGAAUAAUGAAUUGAAGAUGAAGUAUUAUAGUAGGGAUAUUACUCAUGGAGCAGCGUAUUCUACGAAUUUUGAUUUGUAUAACUCGAAAGCUGCAAGCUGGAGGGAUACGUUGCAGGUGAGAUUGUCGCCUACUCCACCGGAUUGGGAGUAUGUGCCGGAGGUGUGUAGGGAGGCGGUGAUGGAGUGGGAUAAGGAAGUGGUGAAAAUUGGGGAAGAAUUGAUGGGUUUGUUGUGUGAAGGGUUAGGAGUGGAAAAAGAUAGAUUGAAGGAAUUGUCUUGUUUGGAUGGAAGAGUUAUGGCUGCACAUUACUAUCCUUAUUGUCCUCAGCCGGAGUUGACGAAAGGGUUGACGCCUCAUACGGAUCCCGGUGUGUUGACGGUGUUGGUGCAGAAUGAAAUGAGUGGAUUGCAAGUGAAAUUUGGGGAAGAUUGGGUGGAUUUGAAGCCGAUUCCGGGGGCUAUUGUGAUUAAUAUUGGUGAUAUUCUUCAGAUAAUAUCGAAUGAUGAAUACAAGAGCGUGGUGCACCGAGUUCUAGCCAACCCUUUCCAAGAACCCCGCGUAUCAGUUGCCAUCUUCUUUAAUCCAGGACAAAGAGAGAACUCAUUUGGACCUCUGCCUGAACUGAUAUCAGAUGAAAAGCCAGCAGUUUACCGCGAAUUCAUGUACACGGAUUACAUGGGGAGGUUCUUUUCAAAGGAGUUGGAUGGGAAGACUUUGACAAAUUACUACAGGGUUUCAAAUCAAAUAUAAGAUCAUCUUUAUAUAUAUGUGUUGCAUCAAAUUAUCAUAAGAUUAACAUAUUAUAAUUACUAUUCUUAUACAUAUGUUGUGGAAUAAGAUUACUGUAAAGUAGAAAAUUUCAUCAAACAUAUAUAUGCUUGUAAAUGUUCUGUACUUUAAACAUGUGUGGCGAUAUCUAUAAUAUCCG
rnacentral:misc_RNA from 1 species